AUACGUAGGGAGCGAGCGUUGUCCGGAAUUACUGGGCGUAAAGGGCGCGUAGGCGGCGCUUCAAGUCGUCUGUCAAAUGGGAGGGCUUAACCCUUUUUCGCAGACGAAACUGUGGCGCUAGAGAAGCAGAGAGGCAAACAGAAUUCCUGGUGUAGCGGUGAAAUGCGUAGAUAUCAGGAAGAAUACCAGUGGCGAAGGCGGUUUGCUGGCUGCAUACUGACGCUGAAGCGCGAAAGCCAGGGGAGCAAACGGGAUUAGAUACCCCGGUAGUCCUGGCAGUAAACGAUGUAUGCUGGGUGUGGGAGUAGCGAUACCUCCGUGCCGAAGUUAACGCGAUAAGCAUACCGCCUGGGGAGUACGGUCGCAAGAUUGAAACUCAAAUGAAUUGACGGGG
rnacentral:rRNA from 1 species